GGAAAUGUGCCCGAAAGACAAGGACCUCCUUGAUGAGGAGGAUAAUAGAGGUUCAAACCCUCUCGCUUCCC
rnacentral:tRNA from 2 species